rnacentral:rRNA from 1 species
GACGGGACCCGCACAAGCGGUGGAUGAUGUGGUUUAAUUCGAUGCAACGCGAAAACCUUACCCACCUUUGACAUGUACGGAAUCCUUUAGAGAUAGAGGAAUGCUCGAAAGAGAGCCGUAACACAGGUGCUGCAUGGCUGUCGUCAGCUCGUGUCGUGAGAUGUUGGGUUAAGUCCCGCAACGAGCGCAACCCUUGUCAUUAGUUGCUACAUUUGGUUGGGCACUCUAAUGAGACUGCCGGUGACAAGCCGGAGGAAGGUGGGGAUGACGUCAAGUCCUCAUGGCCCUUAUAGGUGGGGCUACACACGUCAUACAAUGGCUGGUACAAAGGGUUGCCAACCCGCGAGGGGGAGCUAAUCCCACAAAGCCAGUCGUAGUCCGGAUCGUAGUCUGCAACUCGACUACGUGAAGUCGGAAUCGCUAGUAAUCGUGGAUCAGAAUGUCACGGUGAAUACGUUCCCGGGUCUU